CCUACGGGAGGCAGCAGUGAGGAAUAUUGGUCAAUGGACGCAAGUCUGAACCAGCCAUGCCGCGUGCAGGAAGACGGCCCUACGAGUUGUAAACUGCUUUUGUACGAGGGUAAAGUCAGAUACGUGAUCCUCUCUGAAUGUACCGUACGAAUAAGGAUCGGCUAACUCCGUGCCAGCCGCCGCGCGAAUACGGAGGAUUCAAGCGUUAUCCGGAUUUAUUGGGUUUAAAGGGUGCGUAGGUGGGAGGUUAAGUUAGAGGUGAAAUCACGGGGCUCAACUUCGGAAUUGCGUUUGAUACUGUCCGACUAGAGAGUAGUGGCGGUAAGCGGAAUGUAUGGUGUAGCGGUGAAAUGCUUAGAGAUCA
rnacentral:rRNA from 1 species